rnacentral:rRNA from 1 species
UACGGGGGGUGCGAGCGUUGUCCGGAAUCACUGGGCGUAAAGGGCGCGUAAGUGGUCUGAUAAGGGUGUGGUGAAAGCCCGGGGCUCAACCCCGGGUCGGCCGUGCCGACUGUUGGACUAGAGUGCUGUAGGGGCAGGCGGAAUUCCGGGUGUAGCGGUGAAAUGCGCAGAUAUCAGGAAGAACACCCGUGGCGAAAGCGGCUCUCUGGAACGGUACUGACGCUGAGACGCGAAAGCGUGGGGAGCGAACAGG